rnacentral:rRNA from 1 species
AUUGAACGCUGGCGGCAGGCCUAACACAUGCAAGUCGAACGGUAACAGGAAGCAGCUUGCUGCUUUGCUGACGAGUGGCGGACGGGUGAGUAAUGUCUGGGAAACUGCCCGAUGGAGGGGGAUAACUACUGGAAACGGUAGCUAAUACCGCAUAACGUCGCAAGACCAAAGAGGGGGACCUUAGGGCCUCUUGCCAUCGGAUGUGCCCAGAUGGGAUUAGCUAGUAGGUGGGGUAACGGCUCACCUAGGCGACGAUCCCUAGCUGGUCUGAGAGGAUGACCAGCCACACUGGAACUGAGACACGGUCCAGACUCCUACGGGAGGCAGCAGUGGGGAAUAUUGCACAAUGGGCGCAAGCCUGAGGCAGCCAUGCCGCGUGUAUGAAGAAGGCCUUCGGGUUGUAAAGUACUUUCAGCGGGGAGGAAGGGAGUAAAGUUAAUACCUUUGCUCAUUGACGUUACCCGCAGAAGAAGCACCGGCUAACUCCGU